UACGGGGGGGGCAAGCGUUGUUCGGAAUUACUGGGCGUAAAGGGCUCGUAGGUGGCCAACUAAGUCAACCGUGAAAUCCCUCGGCUUAACCGGGGAACUGCGUCUGAUACUGGAUGGCUUGAGUUUGGGAGAGGGAUGCGGAAUUCCAGGUGUAGCGGUGAAAUGCGUAGAUAUCUGGAGGAACACCGGUGGCGAAGGCGGCAUCCUGGACCAACACUGACACUGAGGAGCGAAAGCCAGGGGAGCAAACGGG
rnacentral:rRNA from 1 species